UACGUAGGGUGCGAGCGUUGUCCGGAAUUAUUGGGCGUAAAGAGCUCGUAGGCGGUCUGUUGCGUCGGGAGUGAAAACUUACAGCUUAACUGUGAGCGUGCUUCCGAUACGGGCAGACUUGAGGUAUUCAGGGGAGAACGGAAUUCCUGGUGUAGCGGUGAAAUGCGCAGAUAUCAGGAGGAACACCGGUGGCGAAGGCGGUUCUCUGGGAAUAUCCUGACGCUGAGGAGCGAAAGUGUGGGGAGCGAACAGG
rnacentral:rRNA from 1 species